rnacentral:rRNA from 1 species
UACGUAGGGGCUAGCGUUGUCCGGAUUUAUUGGGCGUAAAGAGCGUGUAGGCGGCCAGGUAGGUCUGCUGUGAAAACCCGCGGCUUAACCGUGGGCUUGCAGCCGAUACGGGCAGGCUAGAGUUCGGUAGGGGAGACUGGAAUUCCUAGUGUAGCGGUGAAAUUCGUAGAUAUUCGGAAGAACACCAGUGGCGAAGGCGGCUCACUGGCCCGGUACUGACGCUGAGGUGCGAAAGCGUGGGAGCAACAGG